rnacentral:sRNA from 1 species
UGAUAUAAUAUGAACUACAUGACGGAACACCUAAGAGCAUGGUACUC